UAGGUUUGGGUUAGGUUUGGGUUAGGUUUGGGUUAGGUUUGGGUUAGGUUUGGGUUAGGUUUGGGUUAGGUUUGGGUUAGGUUUGGGUUAGGUUUGGGUUAGGUUUGGGUUAGGUUUGGGUUAGGUUUGGGUUAGGUUUGGGUUAGGUUUGGGUUAGGUUUGGGUUAGGUUUGGGUUAGGUUUGGGUUAGGUUUGGGUUAGGUUUGGGUUAGGUUUGGGUUAGGUUUGGGUUAGGUUUGGGUUAGGUUUGGGUUAGGUUUGGGUUAGGUUUGGGUUAGGUUUGGGUUAGGUUUGGGUUAGGUUUGGGUUAGGUUUGGGUUAGGUUUGGGUUAGGUUUGGGUUAGGUUUGGGUUAGGUUUGGGUUAGGUUUGGGUUAGGUUUGGGUUAGGUUUGGGUUAGGUUUGGGUUAGGUUUGGGUUAGGUUUGGGUUAGGUUUGGGUUAGGUUUGGGUUAGGUUUGGGUUAGGUUUGGGUUAGGUUUGGGUUAUGUUUGGGUUAGGUUUGGGUUAGGUUUGGGUUAGGUUUGGGUUAGGUUUGGGUUAGGUUUGGGUUGGGUUAGGUUUGGGUUAGGUUUGGGUUAGGUUUGGGUUAGGUUUGGGUUAGGUUUGGGUUAGGUUUGGGUUAGGUUUGGGUUAGGUUUGGGUUAGGUUUGGGUUAGGUUUGGGUUAGGUUUGGGAUAGGUUUGGGUUAGGUUUGGGUUAGGUUUGGUUUGGUUUAGGUUUGGGUUAGGUUUGGGUUAGGUUUUGGUUAGGUUUGGGUUAGGUUUGGGUUAGGUUUGGGUUAGGUUUUGGUUAGGUUUGGGUUAGGUUUGGGUUAGGUUUGGGUUAGGUUUGGGUUAGGUUUGGGUUAGGUUUGGGUUAGGUUUGGGUUAGUUUU